UUUAUGCGGCGCCUAGGGCUGAAUUGUGGGAGAACUUAUAUGAUUCUAGCCCUUUUCAUUUUUAUGCUGCUUUGGAG
rnacentral:pre_miRNA from 1 species